rnacentral:sRNA from 1 species
ACUCCGCGAUCAGACGGCUCUGAGCCGCGAGCCGCCGUGAGCACUCGGAUUCAAGCCGGCGCCAACGAGUCCGGGGGCAUCGCCCGCAGCGGCCAAGCUCAUGGCCGGCUGAGCGGGACGCCGCCUCCGCCUCAGCCACCGCCGCCGCCGCCGCCUCCUCCUCCUCAGCCGGCGGCGGCCCGGGCCCAGCAACCAUGGCUGAAGACUACUGGGACGGGCGCCUGCGGCGAACAGGAGGAGAAGGAGGUCGCGCGGCCUCAUCCCGGGCCGCCGCCCCAGGCGCCGCCGCGCCGGCCCCGCGGCUCUGAGGUUGCUCGCGCGCCCCCGCCGAUCGCCAUGGAUCGGAUGAAGAAGAUCAAACGGCAGCUGUCAAUGACACUCCGAGGUGGCCGAGGCAUAGACAAGACCAAUGGUGCCCCUGAGCAGAUAGGCCUGGAUGAGAGUGGUGGUGGUGGCGGCAGUGACCCUGGAGAGGCCCCCACACGUGCUGCUCCUGGGGAACUUCGUUCUGCACGGGGCCCACUCAGCUCUGCACCAGAGAUUGUGCACGAGGACUUGAAGAUGGGGUCUGAUGGGGAGAGUGACCAGGCUUCAGCCACGUCCUCGGAUGAGGUGCAGUCUCCAGUGAGAGUGCGUAUGCGCAACCAUCCCCCACGCAAGAUCUCCACUGAGGACAUCAACAAGCGCCUAUCGCUACCAGCUGAUAUCCGGCUGCCUGAGGGCUACCUGGAGAAGCUGACCCUCAAUAGCCCCAUCUUUGACAAGCCCCUCAGCCGCCGCCUCCGUCGUGUCAGCCUAUCUGAGAUUGGCUUUGGGAAACUGGAGACCUACAUUAAGCUGGACAAGCUGGGCGAGGGUACCUAUGCCACCGUCUACAAAGGCAAAAGCAAGCUCACAGACAACCUUGUGGCACUCAAGGAGAUCAGACUGGAACAUGAAGAGGGGGCACCCUGCACCGCCAUCCGGGAAGUGUCCCUGCUCAAGGACCUCAAACACGCCAACAUCGUUACGCUACAUGACAUUAUCCACACGGAGAAGUCCCUCACCCUUGUCUUUGAGUACCUGGACAAGGACCUGAAGCAGUACCUGGAUGACUGUGGGAACAUCAUCAACAUGCACAACGUGAAAGUGGGUGUGGGGCAGGAAGCAGGGGCACAAGGGGGCCCCCACUCAUCCACUCCAACCCACAAAUCUCCCAGAAACGGACUUUUCCCUUUGGCUUUUUUUGCUAGGAGCCCUUGGAGGGCACUGGGACCCUGUCCUCUUUUGUGUGACAAGGCUCUGGGCCUAGUGUCUGUGUUUGGGAGGGGAGCAGUGCCUGCUGGGGGUCGGGCUAGUGGAUAGUCUUUGACCUCUGCCUGCCAUUCCUGGGUCCCCAGCUGUUCCUGUUCCAGCUGCUCCGUGGCCUGGCCUACUGCCACCGGCAGAAGGUGCUACACCGAGACCUCAAGCCCCAGAACCUGCUCAUCAACGAGAGGGGAGAGCUCAAGCUGGCUGACUUUGGUACCACUGGCCUCCCCUUUCUUAUUGGCUCCCCAGCCUCCUACUUUCCCAUGACCACUUAGUCUCACUUCCCUUCAGCCUUGCCAGAUUUUGCCUAGGACACCCUCAGUCUCAACUGCACUCUCCCCGAGACUUUGCCCAUGACUCCCUCAUUCUAGCUGUCCUUUCUCUGAUUU